rnacentral:rRNA from 1 species
AUGCUGGAGCAACGAUGAAUUCAAGCGACUGCAGAGAUCCCUCGAAGACUUCUAACGUCCGCGGAAAUCUGUACGGUUGAAGUACUAUCUUGAUCGUUGUAAAUACCGAUGGUAGGCUGAAGCGAGAAAUAUUGUACAUGAUAGACUGGUUUGAAAAAUGACUUUAGCAAUAUUUGACCAUUAAGNAAAACAACGCAAAAGUAUGGCUGACAAGGGNCNAGGUCGCCCGGCUUNACGAUCNGUGGNUCCAGUUUGCAACNGGCCUUGGAAGAGUCUAGCUGGAAGAAAGGACCGCUAGAGUGUGAAAUUCNAAACANCNAAGGGAAGUCUUAGGAAAUUACCCCCCUUGUGGGUUAAGGUUCGCCAGCUGGCUCGCUUUUAAAAAGCAGGAAUUGGAGUUUUACCCGUUCAGGACACCAGUUCCAUGGCCGGCAUUUCACAACCGUUGCNUUCGGGAUUGGUACCUUAAACGUCCUUCAGACUGAACUAGUCUUAAAGGUUAUAGUUCACCACACCUUGGGNAGGAAAAGGUCAACCGAAGUCCGGCAACAGGAAUUUUGGACACACGUCCAAAGAGCGGAAAUUUUGGGCGGAGGGAGGUUCCGCGCAACAACGGCCGGUUGGGAAGGCAAUUGUUGA